ACAAAACAUAGUACAUAAGUCGAAAUUACGCAAUUGUCCUUGCGUGAUAUGGGAUCCGCGACUGCCGGCGAAAAAUCCCGUUUACAAUUGCCGGACUAUAAAGCUGUUCUGCCGAACCGGAUAUUAUCUGGCUAUUACACGAACGGGACGAAUUCGCGGACUCAUUGGCAACGAGUCGCACGCUCUACUUCAAGUAACGUCAGUAUCUUUCGGCGUUAUCAGAAUACAAAGCGUGGAAACAAGACUAUACUUGGCAUUCAAUAAGAAAGGACUAUUAUACGGCGAGCUAAAAACUAACAACAAUACCGAAUGGGAGCAAUGGAGAAUUGGCUCUUACGACGCGUUUCGAUCGCACAACUACGCGCAUCACGGAUGGUGGAUAGGGAUUAAGAAAAACGGGCGAGUAAAAUCUGGAUCAAAAACAUCCUGGGGACAAAAAGCGAUACAGUUUUUAGCUAUCCAAGAGAACUAAUUGAUUAACCAAAACCCUUCAGUAUAAAAGAAAAGUGGCAUGAAAGAGCCAGUUUUAGUAUAGAGCCAAAAAAAAAAAAAACUAUUUAAAAAGCAAUCAAACAUAACGCUUAUUGUUUCAAUAUGUAGUUUACUUAUUCCUUUGUGUUAUUUAAUAAACAAAAAGACAAAAUCUAACAAGCUUAAUAAACAUCACUUAAAAAAAAAGUAAAAUUUGGCUCUUUCAUAACAUAAUGAUAUUGAAAGAGCCAUCGAAUGUUAUGAAAGAGCCGACUCCCUAUAACAAGAAUCUUUAACUGUUUAUAAACAAAAUAAUAAACAAACUAUUAAUAGACAUUAAUACAAUUGUUAACAAAACAUUAAUAUAAUUGUUAACAAACAAUUGUUAACCAAAAUGCUAAACCUAGUUUCAUAACAAUCUCUUCAAAAUUAA